AGUAUAUUACAUUCUAUUAAAUUAGAUACAAAUGCAUAGUUCCUGAGUUACAUACAACUUGGGUUACACACAUCAUGCCCAAAUAGAUACAGCAAUAAAGCACCAAGAGUAGAACAGAAGCAUUUCAUUAUACAACGCUACUUUUAUUUGCCGAAUACCGUGAGCGUUACUGUUCAUAACUGAUGUUAACCUUUGCAAAAUUUAUGUAAUUAUCAUUAUUAUUAACAGCAUUCACAUUAUUGACUGACCCAAGGCAGCCGAGUAACUUCAGGAAAAUAUUGUUUGGCCUUUUUAUCGAAGUGGAAGCUCAGUAAUAAUGGCCAUACUCAUUCACAUAUGCCAGCAAAAUUAGAAGAAAGGUAAGCAACAGGUAGUAAAACAGCAUAUACUGGCCACAUUACAGAGAGUCUCUGGUAGUACUGAAAAUAGGAUUGAUGCAUAGGUAGUUAAAAACCUCCCCCAAAACAUAUUUUGGCUUCUUUUUUGAAGAGGCCAUUCAGCAGUAAUGGACAGAGCCAUUUAUCUAUGGAAAUGGGAGAAGGGGUAUGUGGCUAGUAUUUUAAAUUUGCCAAAUGUAUUUGCAUAUAUACACAGUGAUGUACCAC
rnacentral:lncRNA from 1 species